CGCUUUUCUAACAUAUUCCUGGCAAACUUAUUAGCACAACAUUUCCUUGUUGUAUUGGCAAAUCUAGCCCUGAUGUUAAUUCCGCUUUAUACUAUAUUGUGUAGCGUAGCCUUUCAACAUUUGCAUUUUAUGAGAAUAUUGUGGACACUUGAUUUUUAGUUACAUUAUUUUAGUUUCUAAUAUGUUGACACAGAGAGAGAAUAAGCCGUAACACGAGUGGGGUGUUGUGUUCAAAUGGAGGAUGUAGAAAUAGAGGACGUAGACAUGUGUGUGUGGGUGGAGCAAAUGGGCAGGGUUUUGGGUCGUUUUAUUGUGUUUUCUCCCGUUACAACACAUGGGCAUAUUUGAGAAGAACUAUUGCUCCACGGAGAAGAAUGUGCGGCGAAUUUUCCUUUGCAAAUAUUUUUUUGAUGAUAAGGAUUUCUUUUCUCCCGUUGCAACGCACGGGUCCUUUUGCUAGUAAUAAUAAAGCACGGAUUGAGUCUCCGGGUUCACCAUCGCGGCGUUUUUUCAAAAACGUCUCUGUGAUUUAGGGUAAUACAACCCGCAGUCCACGAUUAAGUGAAAAAUGUUUCGUUCGGCAUGUUUUUCAGAAAAACACCUCAUAUUUUACAUAAUCAGCCCGCAGUCCACGAUUAAGUGAAAGACGUUUCGUUCGGCAUGUUUUUCAGAAAAACAUCUCAUAUUUUACAUAAUCAGCCCGCAGUCCAUCAACAUCUGUUCCGAGCGAGAUGGGGUCACGAUCCAGACAACGCUGGGCGCGGUGGCGGCGAUCUCCGGCCAGAUCCGGUCGAGGAGUCGAGGCAGGUCCGGAUCCUGUUCAGGGGACGGUGUGGAGGCGAUCUACGAAGCGCGGGAGGAGGUCAGGCGGCGGGGCUUGAACUCCAAGUUCAUGGCGGCGGCGUUCCUCACCGGUUCCGACCGAGAUGGGGAGCUCUGGCGGAGUCUCUCCAUGGAUACGGUGGCCCUGCACCUGUGAGGGACAGAGGGGAGGAGAGGACGCGAGAAGCGGCGUGAAAGUUCUGGUGGUGCCCGUCUCCUGCAACAGCUCUCUUGAGUACGGUCAGAGAGAGAGAGAUGAGAGAGAGCCGGGAGGAAGAAGGAAAGGAAGGAGACUUCAGGAAGGAGCGGCGGGAUCCUGCGGGGGUGGGUUGGAGCCCCGGUGGUAGCUUGCUCCGGUGGUGCUACUGCUGCUGUUGGACGGCAGCCGAUGGGACAAGGCCUAGGUAAGAGGAAAAACAUGUGCUGCAUUGACACAUUUGAUGCAGAGCAGCCACUGUAAGUUCCUCUCCCUUCUCUAAUUAGUAUUGAGAUUCCAUUGAUAUUUGAUGGAGAGCAGCCACCAAAAGUUCCUCUUUUGAUGCACCGAAAACAUCUCUCUCUAAUUUAUUCUCAGCUACAAAAUGACAUGUAUCUAUGCUACUUACUAAUGUGAUGGAUAAUGCAUGUGGAUUGAUUCAUGAAUUAGCAAAAUAUUUCAUUUGAGAUGUGCUAGAGAACGGUUUUGAUCUAACUGAAUAAUACGAAGUAUUUUAGUUUUGAUGGUGAUAGACGAGCAACUUUAGUUGUAUUUGGUUUCAGUUUUUGUUUUCAGUAUAUGUUGGUCAGGAUUCAACUUUGUUUAUGUCCAUGUUUUGCUGGUAUAAUGCAUCAUCAAGCUUUCUUUUUGUAUGAUGAUAUUGUGUAAAUCAGCAUAUGGAUGUGGAAAAUAUUCUUAGCGGCAUUAGCCUAGACAAGGAUGUUGAUGGUUAAUGGUUUACAUCCCUUAAACAUUGGUAAUGUUGCCCUUAGAAGCUGGAAACCUGUGAUUGUUUCUUGCGCUACAAUAUGGAUUUAUCUCAUGGAAAGCACGCAUGGUGAAAGAAAGUGAUCUGUCCUAACCAGGAAGACAACGCUGAGGUAGUACAGGACUAUCCGAAACUUGAUUAAUCAUGAGGCUAAGAUAAAAGAUGCUCACAGUUUAUGUCGGGCCAUCUGUUAAUCUUUUUGAUUGAUUAAUCAUGUGACUGCUGAGUGCUAAUAAAUUAAUUCAAUCAUAUCGGGCCAUCUGUUAUAGAGCUAAACGAACCAUCUGAAGUGGGAUGCAUUGCAUUUUCCCAACAGAAUUUACAGUAGCACCAAGAAGGGUUGUGUCCAUCAUCCUCAUCAUGUCCGAUCUAGGCCGCCGGAGCACCAAGUCGCUGGCCUAUUCUAACAAGUCCAGGCCCUCGAGGCAGCCCUUCUCGCCGUGGAAGGAGACCCCGAUCUGUAGGAACGCCGGGUAUGGUCCCGUAAUUAACAAGAAGACUCUCCUCUGUCCAUACGCAUAACUCCCAUGAAGAAAAAUCUCUAAACUCCAGUCACCACCUUUAUGUCGAUCUAAGCGGUGGAGAGUUUGGUAUGGUGGCAAAUCAAGCAACUGCAGAUGGAGUCAUUCCAUGUUACUGCAUUGAGUUAGCAUACGCGGCAUGGAUGAUAGAUCAAACCCAAGUGAUUUGGAUUCUCAUGUUGGCUGCCUUCUCACAGUCGUGAACAUCCGUGAGUGAAUUUGGUUAUUUAGAACAAAAUCUAAGACUUGACCAAAUGAAAUUGGUAUUUUGUUGAACUGAACGACACACAUAUUGCCUAACCGUAAUUAUGUUACCUAUCACGACCUCAUGUGCUCCUGAAGCAAGCUGAUGUGUGUUGUGUGUACACGUUGUACACUGAAUUGUUCUUGCGAAAAGAUACAGCAGUAGAUACAAUCUACGCCAUGGAGCCGCUGGUGGGGCUUGAUGAGGACGAGUGCUAGAAGGAGGUGUGCAUGAUGCCCAAACGUGGUGUCGAGGCCUUCCACAUCCGCACCCAAGCUGCGUCACUACCAAGCUGCUACAAGCAUAUAGGGCCUUCCGUGUUCAAGCUGAAAAGGCAAGAAGAUCUCAUUAUUAACAUGGAUAAAAAAGGUGGAACGUCUUCUUCAGUAGAAUUACACAAUGGUUGGCUGAAGCUUUGGAGUGCUAAAGUUCCAAGAAAGGUAAAAAUCCAUCUUUGGUGUAUUUAUUUUCAGAGAAUUUAUGUUGGAGAUGAGCUUAAGAGAAGAAAGUAUAUAGAUAUGGUAAGUUGUCCUUACUGCUUCAAGGGGGAAGCAUUUAUCACUGCUUUUGGGGUUGUAUUUAUGUCAGAUUCCUGGAGGAAGCUGUUAGUAAUUUGCGAUUUCUCGUGAUCUAAAAUUGUCGAUCGGAAAUUUUCUUCAUCGAAGCCCAUUCCAAUCGCCAACAAUUCUGUUUGCACACUCAGGUUUGUGCUUUUCUAUGGUGAUUUAUUAAACAUACUUUGGCUUAUGAUCCCCUUUGACGUACACUUGUGCCCUCCACUACACAUUAUGUUCAGUUUGCCAAAUACUGUAGUAGGUAAUGAACUACAGAAAGCGGAUUGUUGAGUUUGCCAAGCAUAAUGGCACACCUAAUUUUGGCAAAUCACCUGAAGAGUAUUUCAAGCAAAGAUGCUUUGAGAUUUUCACAUGACUAUAUGAGGUUACCAUAAACUCCUGUAUUGCCACAAUAGCUUCUUUUAAGGCAAUAGGGAAUUGUCUUUUUUUUUUGUAUCAGGUAAAUAGUUCCUUUCUCACACUUUUUUCAGACCGAGAUCGUGUGCUGCUGCUGUGUGGUGUUCUAUUUCUGCUGUAUUUUUUUUUUUGCUUUUUCGGGGGGCUUCUUCUCAUUCUUCUUUGGCACCUACGCUCUGCUUGGGGAAACUUUGUACAUGGCAAUACAUAGAUUGGAAUUGAGAUUUGGAGCAAUUUUGUUCGUUUUCCUUUGUACUGAUGUUGCCAUUAUUUGUGCGAUGAUGCCAUUAUAUUGUACAAAGGGAAGAGACAGUUAGAGAGAUGGAUAGAAAUUACUAGCUACUGUAUUUGUGUUGUAAUUGUUUAUUAUUAAAGCUUAUUGUUUAUUGGUUGU